ACGAUUCAAUCGCUGGACUGCGGGAGAUACUGUUAGGCUAGGAGGCGGGAGAAGCCGACGGUAUUUCCGGGGUAGGGGUAAAAUCCUAUAAUCCCGGGAGGACCACCAGUGGCGUAGGCGGUCGGCUAGCACGCGCUCGACGGUGAGGGACGAAAGCUGGGGGAGCAAACCGGAUUAGAUACCCGGAUAGUCCCAGCUGUAAACGAUGCGGGCUAGGUGUUGGAGUGGCCACGAGCCACUUCAGUGCCGCAGGGAAGCCAUUAAGCCCGCCGCCUGGGGAGUACGGCCGCAAGGCUGAAACUUAAAGGAAUUGGCGGGGGAGCACCACAAGGGGUGAAGCUUGCGGUUCAAUUGGAGUCAACGCCGGGAACCUUACCGGGGGCGACAGCAGAAUGAAAGCCAGAUUGAUGGUCUUGCUAGACGAGCUGAGAGGAGGUGCAUGGCCGUCGCCAGUUCGUGCCGUGAGGUGUCCUGUUAAGUCAGGCAACGAUCGAGACCCACACCCCCUGUUGCCACUGAGGAGUUUUCCAAGGGGCACUCUGGGGGGACUGCCAACGAUAAGUUGGAGGAAGGGGUGGGCUACGGCAGGUCAGUAUGCCCCGAAUCCCCCGGGCCACACGCGAGCUGCAAUGGCUGGGACAGUGGGUUCCGACCUCGAGAGGGGGAGGUAAUCCCUAAACCCGGCCUCAGUUUGGAUCGAGGGCUGAAACCCGUCCUCGUGAAAAUGGA
rnacentral:rRNA from 1 species